rnacentral:misc_RNA from 1 species
GGGAUUGCAGGUUUUGGACGUGAAAGUCCAAUUUCCAUACCCAAUCAACUUGCUUUAGACUCUAGAUUCACCAAGAAAUUUGGUAUAUGUUUGAGUUCAUCUACAACAUCUCCUGGAGUUAUCUUCAUCGGUUCUGGUCCAUAUUAUGUUUACAAUCCUAAGAAGAUCGACAUAUCAAACAAUAUUCUCUACACCAAAUUAAUCGCAAAUAAAAAUGCAUUUUUGGUAACUCAAGAGUACUAUAUCCAAGUUUCUUGCAUCAAAAUCGCGGGACAACAAGUUCCACUAAAUAAAACAUUGCUAUCUAUUAAUAAAAAAGAUAUAGAUGGUGGGACGAGAAUCAGCACAGCGUCACCUUACACAAUUU